rnacentral:rRNA from 1 species
GACGAACGCUGGCGGCGUGCCUAAUACAUGCAAGUCGAGCGAAUGACGAGAAGCUUGCUUCUCUGAUUUAGCGGCGGACGGGUGAGUAACACGUGGGCAACCUGCCCUACAGAUUGGGAUAACUCAGGGAAACCUGGGCUAAUACCGGAUAAUCCUUCGAAUCACAUGUUUUGAAGUUGAAAGGCGCUUCGGCGUCACUGUAGGAUGGGCCCGCGGUGCAUUAGCUAGUUGGUGGGGUAACGGCCUACCAAGGCAACGAUGCAUAGCCGACCUGAGAGGGUGAUCGGCCACAUUGGGACUGAGACACGGCCCAAACUCCUACGGGAGGCAGCAGUAGGGAAUCUUCCGCAAUGGACGAAAGUCUGACGGAGCAACGCCGCGUGAGUGAUGAAGGUUUUCGGAUCGUAAAGCUCUGUUGUUAGGGAAGAACAAGUGCGAGAGUAACUGCUCGCACCUUGACGGUACCUAACCAGAAAGCCACGGCUAACUACGUGCCAGCCGCCGCAGUAA